CUUCUGCGGAUUGAGGCUUCUACUCAUUUACCAUUCUAACAAGUGAGCAUUGGACUAAUUGACAUUUCUAACAGGUUAGGUUUCGACCUGUUGAUCUUUCUAAACAUUGACGAUUCUGACGGUUGACCCUUCUGCGGAUUGAGGCUUCUACUCAUUUACCAUUCUAACAAAUGCAGUGACAAUUAACCAACCUGCAAAUGGCAUAGAAUUUAGCAAACCCUUAUCGAACAGUGAGAGUCGAAGAUCACAUUCUGCAGAAGCUAGCACGUAGGAUAUGGAUGUUGAUGAAAAAAUACUGGCCCACGCCGCUGGCAAGGACGCGAGAAUCAACAGAAAGUUGAAUUUUCCAUAACCUAAGAAAUGCGAGUGAGUGUGGCGACCGCAAAGCACGCGCCGCUCCUGAACUUCCCACCGGUCGCCGGAGUAGGAAGUUCCCCCACUCUCGCCCGAGUCGACGAGUAUAUAAGCAUAGCGCGUAACGAGGAGAAGUCACUUUCCAAUCGAUAUCAGUGCAAAGCGGAUCUAAUUUAAAACAUGGAAUCACCUACUGUUAAUAAAUAUAAUAAUAAAAUAAUUACCAGUUUCUAAAAUGGCACGCUCGAAAUUUGCUGGUUCUUGAGAUAAUUCUACUUGUUUUUUACUUUCUGCAAAAUAAAAUUAAGUUUCGAAUGAUAGUCAUCUUGAUAUUUUAAACAAUUAAUUAGAAACAGUAAACAAAUUGCUUGUAAUUCCAAAAAAAUCCAUACUUAAUAAACUAUUUGCUUGAAUAUCGACGUUGCAAACAUGAGGUUCACUUUAAAAAAAUUUAUUUAAGAAAAUUAAAAUUUUAAAAACAUACCCCGUUUCAUUUUUGAAAAUUGCAAAUAAUCGUAUUUUCAUUCUUCAAAUUUCUAAAAAUUUCUUUAAAAAUAAAUUCAACAUGUUAAUAGAUAUUAAUUAACUAGACAAAGAACGAUACUCCAAGCAAAUUGAAUUUUUCUCUGCUUAGUCGAGCGUUUUUUUAUUAUUAGUUUAAGAAAACUGUUAUCAAUGAAACUUGUUAACAAUUUCAUUUCAGUUGUUUAAGAUAAUUGUUCUAUUAACAUGAAGAACGACAAAGUAGUUAAAAAUUACAAUUAGAAAUAAUUACCUGAUAGUAAAUGAAGAUAACAAUUCUGUGCAUUCUUUUCGCUAUAAGUUAUAGUAUAUGGUUGAC